rnacentral:rRNA from 1 species
UAAUACGGAGGGUGCAAGCGUUAUCCGGAAUCAUUGGGUUUAAAGGGUCCGCAGGCGGACUAAUAAGUCAGUGGUGAAAUCCCAUCGCUUAACGAUGGAACUGCCAUUGAAACUGUUAGUCUUGAAUUCGGUCGAAGUGGGCGGAAUGUGUCAUGUAGCGGUGAAAUGCAUAGAUAUGACACAGAACACCGAUAGCGAAGGCAGCUCACUAGGCCUGAAUUGACGCUCAGGGACGAAAGCGUGGGGAGCGAACAGGAUUAGAUACCCUGGUAGUCCACGCCGUAAACUAUCAAUACUCGUUUUCAGCGAUAUACAGUUGGAGACUAAGCGAAAGUGAUAAGUAUUGCACCUGGGGAGUACGAUCGCAAGGUUG